ACUUACUAGGUUCAUGAUGUUACAUUUGGUCUUUGUCAGGCUCCUUAUUCACAUGGAAUCAUGAGAUAUGGGUUAUUUCAAUCAACAUCAGUCAAAAAUAGGCUUAUAGCAUUAAAAUGACCUUAACUUUCUCUUCUUAAAGGGAAACGUUGUGUUUUCUGAUUUUUAUAAGAAUGAAGGACUAAUGAGCCAGUAAGAUGCACACAUAAAGAAACAUGAAGUGAACCUGAAUUCUUUAAAGCUGUCCCCAGCAGUUGGCCUCUCAGUUGGUUAAAUUGUCUUGAUGAGUGUUUUGCACUUAACUUACUGCAGUCAUAGGACAUUUUUUUUUGUUUAUGUACACUAAAGUCAGAAGCAAGAGAGGAGGCUUAUGAGACAACCAAAAGGCAGCACCUAAUUAGAAGUGAGCAUAGACUGUGAUCAAAACCUGGCAUUUUAUGUUCUUAUUUAUAAGCAUCAUGCUCUAUUGUAGGUUGUUUAGGUGAGCAAAAGGAACGCUAUCUAAAAAUGCUCUCUUUUCUUGCAGCAGGUUCUUCUGCAAGGUUAUUCUUGUAAGGUAAUUGUGUUUCAUUUGCUGUAUUUGAUCAGGAAGACACAAGGGAGGCGAUGACAGGGAGACAUUCACAAAUAAGCAUUGACAGGAGAAUUGUUUUUCUUUUUAUCUCUGCAGUGUUUUGUUUGAGCACAUUUGCAGAGCUGAUUUAAGGCAGGAGAGCUUCCCUGGGACAAAUUCAAAAGGGAAUGAGCUUCUGCAGUUGUCUAUUGAUGCCGGAUAAACUGGUCCAAAACACGGGGUUUAAGACAACAACCAGUUGUGAUUGCUCACGACUGUGUUUCUGAUUGGAAGAAACGUUUCUGCUCAUGCCCAGGUCAGGUUGGUCUUGGCUGCAUUAGGUUGUUCUGUAGCUGUAAUCAGCUGGCAGUGCCUGGGAGACUGACUGGCUGUGCUCUCUGUGAUUACCCAUGAUCCAAAAACCUAUCCUGGACUUGUUCACAUGGUAGUUUCAUGGGCUGCAUAAACAAUGGAAGUAUAGAAAGCCCUGUGAUGGAUGUCUAAGCAAAGAUGGAGCAACCAGGUCUUCAAAUGGCAUUCUGUUGGCUAAAGUUAGUCAGCAAUUCAUGGCUGCUCAUGACAAAAAAGUAGAACACUGUUACAAAUCAACACAACCUGUAUGUUCAUAUGUAUUUCUCUGUGGUGGAUGAUGCUUUUGUUUUUGGUGCUGGGCACACUUGAUCAACCUUCUGUUCCUAUUUUAAUAACCAUAUUCUCUGAAAACCUUCUCUGGUUCUUUGCCCCAGCAUACUCGAACAUAAGACUUUGUGUGACAAGUAACUGAUACCAAAGCCAUUGUCUAUUCAUGGUUUCCAAAUCCUUGAGGACAGUGAGGUUUUCAACCAAAUUUGUCUGAAGUUCCUAACAGAGUACUGUGUCUCAGAAAUAUUCUCUGGAUAAAAAAGGUGAUAGCAAUUUUUCUUGUAGUUUCAUCUUCCUCCUUCACAUUGCCUUUGUACCGCCAUCUUGGGGAGACUCCAUUCCUCAACAUUAGUUUCUCUGUUGAGCACUUUUUAAAAGGAGUCACACUCGAUUUGUCAGAUUGUCACCAAUGGAACAGUAACAAUCUUUCUGUGUUCAAGCUUUGAGUACUUGUAAAACUUGACAACUGCAUUGUGGUAUUUAUGCUUUAAUUUUUCUGUGAGGAUGGCUUCUUUUUAUUCUGUGUAAAUUUUUUGGUGCAGUUUUCAAGCCAUAUUCUUAACAUUUACCUGCACAAUUGCUUAUGGGUAGUUGCUUAGAACACCCUGCCAGUUCUUUAGGAUUUGGCUCCUAGAAGUAAGUACCUUUUGUUAUCUGGCAAUCUGGCACCUUGGGAGGUUGUUGCUUAAUUCUGGGAGCCCAUAAUAGAACCACCUUUUAUAGAAAAGGCUUCUGUUUUUUAGAAAUUCUCUCUUAUUUCAUGUUAUUAUUCAAGGUGUCUAAGUAUGCAGCAUAGUUCAAGAUCUCUGUGAGGAAUAUCAGAGAGAAUACUUAACUACACAGACUCAUGUUUCAUAAAUAUCCCAAUGGAUAUUCAUGGAGACAGAAUACCAUUCUCAGACACACUAUCCUUUACAGUUUUAGGACAUUUAUAUAAGUAAAACAGUUUACCCAAUAGGUUGUUUCAUUUUUACCUGGUUACAACUGGUGAAGUCCCAUAUGAAAGAAUUCUCACUCAACAGAAAUUCCUCAUCUCUGAAAACACAUCAUUUACAUCUCAAGUUGUCAAAUGAAGAGGACAGGCCCUCAGACAGGAUUAGGAGCCCUUGUUAUCUGUGACCUCUUUGUUUCAGAAUCAUCUUGUUAAAUGUGAACUAUUUGGGAGCCUUCUAGAUCCUCAAGAAUUCUUGGAGACACUGAAUAGAAACCUGAUUUAUGUCAGCAAGUACAAUGAAGCCUCAGAAUCAAAAUACACAUAAUAUUAAUAAGAGCAAUAAAUACCAUAUAGAAAAAAAAGAAAGUACCAUGAGAAAUAAAGGGACAAUUAUCAUUUGAAUGGAUUAGUUAAUGCAGAGACUUAUAGAAGGAGUGUAAGAAUAAAUGUAGAGUGCCUGAACAGGAGUGAACUUUACAACUUCACAGGAGAGAAAAGCCAUGUUAAAGACCAUCCAGUUGUCUAUCAUACUUUAAACAACCUAUAUAUUUUAUAAUGUUGCAAAAGACUGUUGAUGAUGGCCAUUCCCUGUCCACUCACAAAUUUUUAGGACUCACCAACCAUUACCUGAGAAUUACAUGGAGAGAGGAACAGAGUCUUUGGGAGAAUAUGCUUUACUGUGCUCUUGAUAAGAUGAGUUGAAAACCAACCACAAAUUUGACAAGGUAAAGGAUACUGAUUACCUUGACAAAAGCUGUGUAUGCAAAGUGCUUAGCAACCUUCAUAGAACUCUUAUUAUCUAGGAGUGAAUGGUGUGUUGUCUACAAGGCCAUUGGAUCUGGGAGAUCUUUUGUCUAAAACUAGAAGUGCUAUAGCACAUUUGUGUGCUGUUAGAACUGACCAUGCUCUGAGGGAGAAAGUGACAUAGUUGACAAUAAGCAAACAGAAAAACAUUGAGAAUGAAGAAUGGAUGGAGUCCAGGGUAUGGGCAAAUGGCUGCUCUAGAUUGCAGCAGGGACCUUUUAAACAAGGGGUGGAUACGAGCUAAGUUCAAGGAAUAUGUGAACGUUGGAAUCAGUCAGAAUCCAUUUCAUCUCCAAGCCUAAUUUUACAGUUUUUCCUGAGACCAGUUUGUGUUCAAGAAAAUGCAUUCUUUUAUUUCUCCUCUUCCUUUCCUCCUCCCUCUCCCAUUAUUCACCAUAUGGUUCUUUGUUCCAGAACCCCUUGUUCCUGCAAAUAUUUCUUAUUCAGUCAACAUGCUUUUUAUGCACCCACUCUGCAAAAUGUGAUAUCCCCAUAUGUGUGGUAUAACAUCUGGAUGUGGGGUUAUUGCCAUAAGUGAAAAGCAAUUUUGCUAUUUAUCCCGAAUGAGUAGAUAUCUGUUUCACAGGAGAGCUGACAACUUGGACUCUCUGACUAUAGCCAUGGCUUUGGAUCUUAAAGGAUCAGACAUGAGUGGGUAAGCUCGGGAGAUGAUGUGGGAAG
rnacentral:lncRNA from 1 species